UACAGAGGAGCCAAGCGUUGUCCGGAUUGACUGGGCGUAAAGCGCACGCAGGCGGAUGCGCGCGUGGGGUGUGAAAUCUGGCCGCUUAACGGCCAGGCGCCAUCCCAUACGGCGCGUCUGGAGUGAUGCAGAGGUCGAUGAAAUUGCCGGUGUAGUGGUGAAAUGCGUAGAGAUGUGGAGGAACACCGAUGGCGAAGGCAGCCUCCUGGGCCAACACUGACGCUCAUGCACGAAAGCGUGGGGAGCAAACAGG
rnacentral:rRNA from 1 species